GACAGAGGGGGCAAGCGUUGCUCGGAAUUACUGGGCGUAAAGAGCUCGUAGGCGGUUUGUCGCGUCUGCCGUGAAAGUCCGGGGCUCAACUCCGGAUCUGCGGUGGGUACGGGCAGACUAGAGGCAGGUAGGGGAGAAUGGAAUUCCCGGUGUAGCGGUGAAAUGCGCAGAUAUCAGGAGGAACACCGGUGGCGAAGGCGGGUCUCUGGGCAACAACUGACGCUGAGGAGCGAAAGCGUGGGGAGCGAACAGG
rnacentral:rRNA from 1 species